AUUGAACGCUGGCGGCAGGCUUAACACAUGCAAGUCGAGCGGAGAUGAGGUGGUUGCACCUUAUCUUAGCGGCGGACGGGUGAGUAAUGCUUAGGAAGCUACCCGAUAGAGGGGGAUACCAGUUGGAAACGACUGUUAAUACCGCAUAAUGUCUACGGACCAAAGUGUGGGACCUUCGGGCCACAUGCUAUCGGAUGCGCCUACGUGGGGUUAGCUAGUUGGUGGGGUAAUGGCUCACCAAGGCGACGAUCCCUAGCUGGUUUGAGAGUAUGGGCAGCCAAACUGGGACUGCGAUACGUACCAGGCUCCUAAGGGAGGCAGGAGGGGGGAAUAUAGGAAAAUGGGCGCGAGCCUGGUCCAGCAAUGCCGCGUGUGUGAAGAAGGCCUUCGGGUUGUAAAGCACUUACAGUAGGGAGGAAGGGUGUUGUGUUAAUAGCACAGCAUUUUGACGUUACCUACAGAAGAAGCACCGGCUAACUCUGUGCCAGCCGCCGCAGUAACAC
rnacentral:rRNA from 1 species